GGAUGUGAGGGUGAUCUGGCUGCGACAUCUGUCACCCCACUGAUCGCCAGGGUUGAUUCGGCUGAUCUGGCUGGCUAGGCGGGUGUCCCCUUCCUCCCUCACUGCUCCAUGUGCAUCCUUCCUGAAGCUGUGCACAAAUAGGAUGGCCUUCCCCGAAUAGAGACGGACCCGUCUUCAGUCGAGUGUAUACAAGUAGCUGCGUUCCCCUGCUAGAGCCUCCAAACAAGCUCUCAAGGAUCCUGGUUUGAGCCCCCGGCUCCCCACCUGCAGGAGGGUCCCUUCAUGGGCAGUGAAGCAGGUCUGCAGGUGUCUGUCUUUCUUUUCC
ensembl:misc_RNA 7SK 7SK RNA